UGUGCUCAUUCCUUCCCCCCCCUCUCUCUACUUUCUCUCUCCAUCAGCAAAUUCCAAUCCUUUUCACUCACUCUCAGAAACGCCUCUGCAUUUUCACAAUCUUCAAAUCAUCCAUUUCUCCACAAUUUUCAGGAUCACUCCAUAUUAUUCAAAAUCCUGUCUUGGGUACCUUUUUGUCAUCUGGGUUUUUCUCAGAGAUUCCUGUUAUUUUCUGGAGAACCAAACAGGUUUUGCAUACAGAGUGAAGAACAGUGCUUCAUUUAAUGUGAUCAAUCGUAGCCCGUGAAGCAGUGAUUGACAUUCUAUCUGUUUUGCAUUGAAGAUUUCCCUCAAGAUUUCGUGUCAGAGCUCAAGAAUUACACACAUUCAUAAAGAAGAAAGGGAUCAGAAUUGGAGGUUGGAUUUUCUUGGCUAAUUUGGUUCAUGAAUCUGUCUGGGAAAUUUUAGUAGUAAUGUAAGCAAAACCCAUUUGAGGAAAAGGCCUUUAGGAUCGAAAAAAUGGGUUUUUGUAUUUCAAAUUGUUGAAUUCAGAAGUUGGGUAUUGGACUGUGAAGCGGUUUGGUUUUGGUUGUUUGAUUGGGUUUAGUAGAAGCUCUAGUUUGUGAUCAAAACUGGGAAGAAUGCUGGAGCCAGAGUUCUGUGGUUCUCGGAUGCUAUCGCCUUUUCGGGACGAAAGCGGAGAUGAGGAACUUUCAGUUCUUCCCAGGCACACCAAGGUUAUUGUCACUGGAAACAACAGAACAAAGUCUGUUUUGGUGGGUCUUCAAGGCGUGGUCAAGAAAGCUGUUGGGCUUGGGGGUUGGCACUGGCUGGUUCUGAAAAAUGGAGUUGAAGUUAAGCUGCAAAGGAAUGCAUUGAGUGUGCUGGAACAUCCUACAGGGAAUGAGGAAGAUAGCAAUCUUGAUUACUCUAGCGGCAGCUCUGACCAUGGUGAUAAGGAGAAUGAUUUCUCUAGAUGCUUUGAGUUCCAUAAGCAUAGUAAACCAAGAGUUCGAUUUUCAAGGCCAUAUGUUCCACCCUCAGCAACAAAGUCAGUAAAUCGUGGAAGUUAUAGAGAAGUUCAAUACAUCCAAGCACCCCAAUCGAGAGUAAACUUGGGAAAACUAGGAACAAGCUCAUUGAGGAGGUAUUGCAGACACUUCAAUCUUGUGGUUAAGCGGCAAUUCUAAUCCAACAAGGGAACAAUUGAUCAAUGCUGCACAACGACAUUUUACAUCGCAGCAGAUGCCGUUGGAUGAGGUAUCGGUGGUCACUGAAUUUGUGGAUGCUGCCAGGAGUCGGAAGUGGAAACAAGCAGAAUGAGAAAUGAGAAUGUCAAAAAAAGGAAAUAUGGUUGUAUAAUAAUAUACAUAUGUAUCUACUAACCUAACCGUUAGGUCAGAUCUAAUCACAGACUGAUGUGGAGAGUCUUCGGCUUUAGUACGGUGACAUCGCUUCCUCGAAUCCUAACUUUGUAAUACAGGGUUCAUACCUAAGUUGUUCUAUAUCAAUAUUAGGUAUUAAUCUCAUCAUUAUAUCUGCCAUUUGAGUAUUA